GUGGCGCACGGGUGAGUAACGCGUGGGAAUCUGCCCCGGAGCGGGGAAUAACAGUUGGAAACGGUUGCUAAUACCGCAUACGCCCUACGGGGGAAAGGCUUCGGCCGCUAUUAGAUGAGCCCGCGUAAGAUUAGCUUGUUGGUAGGGUAAUGGCCUACCAAGGCAACGAUCUUUAGCUGGUCUGAGAGGACGAUCAGCCACACUGGGACUGAGACACGGCCCAGACUCC
rnacentral:rRNA from 1 species